rnacentral:lncRNA from 1 species
GUUUUGUUGUUGAGCCUCUCUAGCCAGAUGAGCCUACCCUGUUUUGAUCCUUUGAUAACCCCUUUUGAGCCUAUACUUUCUCCAUUCUUUGUUUUGAAGCUCAUACACUAGCCCUCUAUGAAAAACCAUGAAUACCUUAACCUUAGGGAAUUUUGGAGCUUUGAAAGUGUUUUGGGAACAAGUGUGGUCUCCUUGGGGAUUCUGAUGAAUUGGCUAGUUGGUUCCUCUUCUUG